rnacentral:lncRNA from 1 species
UGGAACCCUCAGGUGGUGCUGUGGCAUGACCUCCAGGAAGAAAGAGGUGCUCCUCUCCAUUUUAAAGAUGAAGAAACUGAACCUCUGGGGAGCAGAAGUGAAAUUCAAAACCAGAAAAAAUAUCUUCUGCCAAAAGUAUUUUGAAAACCAAAGUGAUUUGCCUCUACUUGAAAAAUCAACUUCUAAAUUACACUCAAAAGGUGCCUUGUUGUGAACUGCCCUAUGGAUAGAAACACAUGGUAACUUUGAUGCCUCUGGAUAGCAGCAAGUAUGCACUUAAAGCCUGCCAAAGUCCAUGUGAAGAAGCAUGGAAGUGGAUUAUCUUCCAAACACUCACUGACAUGGCUACAGCCUCACCCGACACUUUUACUGCAGUCUUCUGAGAGAUACUCCCUAAGCCAGGGGAUCCAGCUAAGCCAUUCCAAGAUUCUUGACCUAUAGAAACUGCAGUAUAAUAAAUGUUUGUUUUGCUAAGCCACAAAGUUUUGGGGUGAUGUUUUAUAUAAC